AUAUGAUCCAAAGCUUAGUGAGCUCAGGGGAACAAUAUCUACCAAUGAUGUGAAUGCAGAUAAGCUGGCAAUACAUUUCCAAGAUGACAAUGCUUCAAGGGGUGGUGGCUCUACAAAUGGACUUCACAAGGUUGAUUAUGCAGAUUCUAUUCAGGACAGCCGGCGUACAGGUGCUAAGAGAAGGAAGUCUGGUUCUGUGAAGAGGUUUAAGAAGGACUUGGAUAUGUGUGAAUCACUUUGCUUACAAAGUUCACCAUUUUUCUUAAAACCUUCACCAUUGAACGUUUCUGUUGGCUCUGGUGGGGCAACUGCACAACUAGGAAUUGAAAAUGGGACUUUGGUAGGGACUAAUUCAAGUCACAAGCCAGUGGGUGUGAAUUCUACAACUAUCACCAAGAUCCUCAAACCAAUAGGCUUCUCAGCUUCUGUGAUGGACAAUGUUCAGGAUGUGCUGGUAACUUUUGUGGCAUUGAGGUUUGUCUUCUUAAUUCCCAACUUUUAGUGUCUUGUCUUAUUGGCAUAAAAUUUAUGUUUUUACAAUGGACCCUUCCCAAUACAGUGGAGGAAGUCUAAUAUACUGGAACACCUUUUUCCCUUGACAUUUUUAUACUUCUGUCAAUCCAUAGGACAGAGAAUCAUGCAGUUGCAGAUCUCUAUGAUAAUGGCACUGUACUGUUGGGUAUAAAACUAUAUUCUUAUUGAUAUCAUUGGUUGUUCAGGAAGGAUACCUUUCAUGUCAAAGUAGCAGAUGUAUGACAAUUGGGAAGUAGAUUGUAGAUCUAUGAAUGCUGUCAGUAGGUUAGCACAUUAGUUUAACAUUAGGUAAGAAUAGAAUUUAAUAUUAGAUAAAUGUCAUUGGCCUGAUUUUGUGUUUGUUAGCUUGAUUCUUGUCGUAUGGGUGUUGCUUGUGGUUUACGUGGUAAGGUUCAAGGGUUCAAGUAGAUCUUGAAGAUUGGUACUUGUGGGUGUUAAGUUUUGUGGCAGUCAAGGAAUGCUACAUUGAAAAACCUAAUGUUAGCUGGGCCUUCUUGGAGUUGCACCACUAAAAGUGUAUACUAAGAGCUUGGCUUUGCAUGCAUUUGUUAGUUUUGUUCUCUUCCGUUUUCAUGUUCUUUGUUUGAUUAUGUAUUUGGCAUGGAGUUGGUGCAUGGAGAUAAGUGAAUUGCUUGGAGAUUAGCUCUUAAUUGCUUAAUAUGGUUUUCAAAUCAACAGUCCUGGUGUUCUUGUGAUAUCUUAUUAGGAUGGCUUUUCCCCUCAGUCCCUCUCUAUAUUUAAUUUCAAUUAUUUCCUUUUCUUUCCUGAAAAGGUCUGAAGUAGUGGGGAGUAUUUAAGUGUUAGGAGGAACCAAUGGUAUGAAACAAGAUAUGAGAUAGGAAAUGAAAAAUAAUGGGGCUUCGGUCUCCAAUAUUUCAACUUUGUUAGAAAUAUUCAUCGCACAUUAUGUAAUGGUUAGAAUGGUGAUUGAGCCUUUGAAUGUUAGGAAAUGCAUUUAGGAGUAUUAAUUCAGAAAGGGAUUUGGCAGUUAUUCAAGGGAGUUGAUGGAUAUUAUUUAGAAUAAUGAGUGUUUAUUUGGAUAACUGCUAGUUUUUUUCAGAAAUUUAAAAGAUUUUAUUAUUAUUAUAUGUGGAAUUGGCUUGUUAAUUUGUAUCAGAGGAUGAUGUCAUGUUCUAUAAAGCUUUCACAUUCUGCUGAUCAAAAGUCUAUGAUCAAUGGUUUUCCCACUUAUUUCUCAAAACAUUGAUUCAAAAUUAUUAUAUUUCCAUUGGCAUAACAUAUUUUCUCUUAACUUUGUUAUUAAGCAACAGCCUGCCAAUAAAGCUACCUUGCCAAUAUUCUGAAAUGCUCUUCCAGCGCAUUGUUGAAGAUUUAACUUCCUUUUUGAGCUCACUUGCUGAUAUAGCUUACUCUCUCUCUCACUUGAUAAUGUCUCCAUAAAAAUUGCAUACUAAUUACUAGGAGUCCAAACAGAAUCCUUCAAAUGCUAGUAGGCAUUGCCUUUUUGUUUUCUUCACUCUCCUCCCACCCCCCUCUCUCUCUGUGGCUGUUGUCCUUUAAAUUUUCAAAUAUUUCAGAGUUCUGCAAAUAAACCUCUUACAGGGAUCUGCGCAUACCAUAUAUCAUUGCAGGUUUCUUCUUAUUUUUCGUACUUUGAUGAUUUGGGUUGGCAUAUUCAAAUAAAUGAUUUUUUUAAAUAUAUGAUUGUGAUCCUUACCAAAUAAUUUCCACCUGAAUUUGGUGCAUAGAUAUUGUAUCAGGCUUACAAAAUGCAAGGGUACGGUCUUAACUUUUGACAGUGGUGGUUAAUGGUCUUUUUAGUAUCUAGACUAAAAGACUUAAAGAGGCAUUGUCUAUAUAGAUGGGAAAUUUAAAGUAUUAAGAAAAAAAGAGGUUUAUUUUUCACUUAGAUGCACAAAUGGAAUCUUGGGUUUACUAUUGUUAUUAUUUUUUUGAUAUAAGAGAAAAGAUUGAUUACCCUAUCAGUUUUUGCCAAAAAUUCUUUAAUCUUUUCUGGAUUAGCCCUUUCAGGGUCCUGCUUGAGUGUAUGAGGAGUGGGUAAUUGCCGUUUUAGCACCUAGACCAAGGAAGACUUAGAGAGGCAUUGUCUGUAGAGAUGGGAAAUUUGAAGCACUAAGAAAAAGAGAAAGGUUUAUAGUUCACUUUGAUGCAAAAUUGGAAUAUUGGAUUUACCAUAAUAAUAAUGAUAAUAAUAAAUGGAUUGAUUAAGUUCAUGAUAUAGAAUGAUGAACGGUUAAUUUAUUCCAUUUCAUUACAUUGUGCUCUAUUGUAAUAUAGCAAACUUGCACUUGGUGUAUUAUUGCUGGAAUCUUGCUGUUGAGUAACCUCCUUCCCAGGCAGGGUAAUGCUUGUAAUCAUUCAGUAUUUUUUUUUUGACACUGUUUUGUACUACAUUAUGCGGUUGUGAGACCCUAUUGAGAAUUGCCUUAUUUUUCCUCAUUAAAUAGCCUCUCAAAGAAGCUCAAAACACCCUUGGCAAGCUGAUACUAGAAACUUCCAACAGUGUUUUUCUUUUGGCUCUUCUUUGUUUCUGGAUGCAAUUCAGCCAUCCAUCAAUGACCAAGGAACCUCUAUCAAUCUGUAAACCAUAUACCUGUCUUGUGUACAAUUCAAACCCUUGAAUCCCCAAUUCAUCUAUCGCUAGCCCACUACAAUGACUUCCAUAGAUAGGCAUGUCAUAUCCCUACAUCCAAAAAUUUGUAUGCAUUAGCUUAUGUAAAAAGAGGGAUACAGAAGUAGGAGCAUUGAGCUCUAUUAUUAUGUAAGGACUAUGUUAUUAGCUGUAAUUUUGGGUUUUAUG
rnacentral:misc_RNA from 1 species